rnacentral:rRNA from 1 species
AGGAUUGGCCCGCGUUCGAUUAGCUAGUUGGUGAGGUAACGGCUCACCAAGGCGACGAUCGAUAGCUGGUCUGAGAGGAUGAUCAGCCACAUUGGGACUGAGACACGGCCCAAACUCCUACGGGAGGCAGCAGUGGGGAAUAUUGGACAAUGGGCGCAAGCCUGAUCCAGCCAUGCCGCGUGAGUGAUGACGGCCUUAGGGUUGUAAAGCUCUUUCGCUAGGGACGAUAAUGACGGUACCUAGACAAGAAGCCCCGGCUAACUUCGUGCCAGCAGCCGCGGUAAUACGAAGGGGGCUAGCGUUGUUCGGAAUUACUGGGCGUAAAGCGCGUGUAGGCGGGCUUUUAAGUCAGGGGUGAAAUGCCAAGGCUCAACCUUGGAACUGCCUUUGAUACUGGAAGUCUUGAGUCCGGGAGAGGUGAGUGGAACUGCGAGUGUAGAGGUGAAAUUCGUAGAUAUUCGCAAGAACACCAGUGGCGAAGGCGGCUCACUGGCCCGGAACUGACGCUGAGACGCGAAAGCGUGGGGAGCAAACAGGAUUAGAUACCCUGGUAGUCCACGCUGUAAACGAUGGAUGCUAGCCGUUGGGGAGCUUGCUCUUCAGUGGCGCAGCUAACGCUUUAAGCAUCCCGCCUGGGGAGUACGGUCGCAAGA